CGAACGCUGGCGGCGUGCCUAACACAUGCAAGUCGAACGGAGACCGAUGAAGUAGCAAUACUUUAUCGGAAUUAGUGGCGGACGGGUGAGUAACACGUAGGUAACCUACCCCUGGGCGGGGGACAACUCCGGGAAACCGGAGCUAAUACCGCAUAAGACCACGGAUUGAGAUAUCUGCGGGAAAAGUGGUAACACACCUGGGGAUGGGCCUGCGGCCUAUCAGGUAGUUGGUGAGGUAAUAGCUCACCAAGCCAAAGACGGGUAGCCGGGCUGAGAGGUUGAACGGCCACACUGGAACUGAGACACGGUCCAGACUCCUACGGGAGGCAGCAGUGGGGAAUCUUGCGCAAUGGGGGAAACCCUGACGCAGCGACGCCGCGUGGAGGAUGAAGGUCUUCGGGUUGUAAACUCCUUUUCUCAGGAAAAAUGAUGAUGGUACCUGAGGAAUAAGCCACGGCUAACUCU
rnacentral:rRNA from 1 species